GAUGAAGAACGUAGCGAAACGCGAUAAGUAAUGUGAAUUGCAGAAUCCAGUGAAUCAUCGAAUCUUUGAACGCACAUUGCGCCCGCCAGCAUUCUGGCGGGCAUGCCUGUUCGAGCGUCAUUUCAACCCUCGACCUCCCCUUGGGGAGGUCGGCGUUGGGGACCGGCAGCACACCGCCGGCCCUGAAAUGGAGUGGCGGCCCGUCCGCGGCGACCUCUGCGCAGUAAUACAGCUCGCACCGGGACCCCGACGCGGCCACGCCGUAAAACACCCAACUUCUGAACGUUGACCUCGAAUCAGGUAAGACUACCCGCUGAACUUAAGCAUAUCAAUAAGCGGAGGA
rnacentral:misc_RNA from 1 species